UUCCUUCGGGAUGACUUUGUCGCUGUCGAGUGGCGGACGGGUGAGUAAUGCAUAGGAAUUUGCCUCAAAGUGGGGGAUAGCCCGGAGAAAUCCGGAUUAAUACCGCAUGUGCUCUACGGAGGAAAGCGGGCCUCUAUUUAUAAGCUCGCGCUUUGAGAUAAGCCUAUGUCGGAUUAGCUUGUUGGUAGGGUAACGGCCUACCAAGGCGACGAUCCGUAGCUGGUUUGAGAGGAUGAUCAGCCACACUGGGACUGAGACACGGCCCAGACUCCUACGGGAGGCAGCAGUGGGGAAUAUUGGACAAUGGGCGCAAGCCUGAUCCAGCAAUGCCGCGUGUGUGAAGAAGGCCUGCGGGUUGUAAAGCACUUUUAUUGGGAAAGAAAAACUCGGGGUUAAUACCCCUUGGGUCUUGACGGUACCCAAAGAAUAAGCACCGGCUAACUCAGUGCCAGCAGCCGCGGUAAUACUGAGGGUGCAAGCGUUAAUCGGAAUUACUGGGCGUAAAGCGAGUGUAGGCGGCUUCGUAAGUCGGAUGUGAAGCCC
rnacentral:rRNA from 1 species